rfam:Oryza rufipogon genomic scaffold, chr03
AAUGUCUGACACCGUUGAUUUUUUAGCACAUGUUUGACCGUUCGUCUUAUUCAAAAAAUUUAAGUAAUUAUUAAUUCUUUUCCAAUCAUUUGAUUCAUUGUUAAAUAUAUUUUUAUGUAGGCUUAUAAUUCUACAUAUUUAACAAAAGUUUUUGAAUAAGACGAACGGUCAAACAUGUGUUAAAAAGCCAACAGUGACAAACAUU